GAGGUGAUGCUGUAUGAAGUGUGCGAGGUGAUGCUGUGCGAGGUGAUGCUGUGUGAAGUUUGUGAGGUGAUGCUGUGUGAGGUGAUGCUGUGCGAGGUGAUGCUG